rnacentral:lncRNA from 1 species
GUUAUCCUAUUCUCCGCGGAAGUCUUCUCCUGGAAUUGGUUUGCCUUUGGAUCCUUUCACUGCAAAAUCAGCGUGCUGCGCUCUUUGAGGGAUGAGUGGUCAGUGGACUCUCUCUGGGCAUGCAAGGACCUCAUCUGGCGUUCGCAUUUUAACUUAAGCUGAUUGCGUUUUUUGCUUGAGUAGUCUUUUUCUGUUUAUAUUCAGUGUAGUAGGAGGAUUCCGUUUCGUCGUCAAGUCGUAGAGCUCGGUACGUAACGCCGCAUUGAGUCGUAGUCUUGUAAACCUAGCUAUGCGACCAGUUCAUAGAAGUUUUUUACAGUACCCU